UGGUUGGUUAUCACAUAUCUAAAGAUAUUUAAGAUGUUUAGGUAUAACUAUUGUAUCAUAUUUUGUAAAUAUUCACAAAAUUACACACCUUACGCUACAUGACAUCAUUCAUACAUGAUUAUGUCUAAUCCAUCAAGAAAAUUACCAAUGAGCUUAUUAAGACUAAUGGACAACCAAAAUCACUUCAUAGAUUGAUUAUUGGUUGUUAAAAUUUUACUUCUGCAACUCUUUAGUUGCUAAUGCAACUACUUAUGGUCAGCAACCAAAAUCAAAUGUAAUACCAUUAUUAAGCCAC
rnacentral:lncRNA from 1 species